AAGUGAUCUACUUUCCAUUCCCCACAAAGCCCCUGGUUUCUGGCAUGGGGUUCAAAUCUGCUCAUUCUGCUUGGUUUAAGUCACACUUUGGGGUCCUAAGGCGCAGUGCACAGCAAUUCUGAGUCAGAAGUCACCUUUGCUUUCUCCUGGCCUCUCAAAGUACGCUCACGCUGCGUUUGAAUUCAUGCGGUAAUUAAAACUCUAUCUUCUGUUUCCUUGCAAAGAGUCGGAGUGGAGGGUUUAACAGUACCUGGUGUUCUCAACAAAGGCCAUUGAACCCUGCUUUAAAAACUUUCCAGAGACAAGAGGAUUACACCCAGUAGAGUGUGUGCUGAUUUGGGGGAAGAUUUUAGUGAAGUAAGCACUUGUAAAGAUCCUCUUUCUCUCUGCUUAAAUCUGCUUGUAGAUCCUAUGAAAGCCUUUCAGGAAUACAGAUGUGAGCCCUUCCUAGAUCUAGACAUUGAAUGCCUCACUAUGGCUAUUCAAUACGGUACAUGAAAUUAUCGCCUCAAAUCCUUUUCUGAGGAUCUCCAUACAAAUGACAGGUUUUUUAUUUAAAGUGUUGUCCCCUUUUAAAUGACGUAUUAAUAAUUACUUGAUUAAAGCUCCUUAGAGGGUAGCCUUUAUAGUAAAGAAAAUGUAAAAAUGGUGUAUCUUUGCAAGGAUCUGAAUUCAGGACCAACAGCGUCUGCACUUUUUUUUUCUUCCCACUGAGCCGAGGGCAGUGGCACUAAAAUAGAGCAAAGAGACUGUGUGCCCUGGCCUGAUUUAGGUGUGGAUGAUGCCAUGGACUGCAGUGGGAAAGCCAGUCAGGAAGGACUCGGCAUGGGAAGGCAGGAGGAGUGCUGCUCACUGAACAAGUCUUUUGCAGACCAAGAAGAGCCAUUAUACCAUAGUUUAUUCCAGAUCCAGAAAAGAACACAACCAAGGUUAACCAUCACACUUGGUAAAUGCGUCCUGGGCAAAUCAGAGGGGUUCUGAGCAGAGGAAAUCCACAGCCUCCAGCUAACUCCUUGGGAUUCAUCUCCCCGUCCUUAGGUUUCUGCAUCCUCGAGCUCUGCAAGAACAAUGUUUUCAAAGAAGACUGUGACUCGGUACAUGUUUGCGUAAGGUUCUGGGCUGGAUUCCCAACUCAGAAAAAUCAGUCUAAAACCAGAAAGACAGGAAAGAAGGCUCAAAUCACAGGUCUUCUUAGCCCAGAGGAUAUACAGUUUGCUAAAGCGUCAUUCUAUGAAAGGAAGCAAUAUAAUUCAAGAUAAGGACUUCCUCUCCUCUGUGACCAGAAGACGCAAUCUAGAACCUGGAGAGUUUGCUGUCUUGGCAUUAAUCCUGACUGUGAACGUGAGCUAAGGCUCAGUCUACAACCUACCCAUAUGUAUAGAUGGUGAAGAUUCUCUGCUAUCUCCCUGAGGACUAGUAUGUCAUAGUACUGGAGGGUGCUAUGCAAACUUCCAAGAUACAAAAGCAAGAGUUCUACCCAGCUGUGAUACCUAUGAACUACAACAAUGACCAUCAAUUCAAGGUAUCUCCAGUGCUGCAGUAGGGGUACCUAUAUCUUUGGGAUAACCACAGCCAUCUAACUGGAUUUAAGUCCUAGUUGAUAGGAGGGAAUUUGUGCUGUAAACCUAGCUGACUAUAUGUUGCUGGAAAGGCCAGGGAACCUACAGGAAAAUCCACUACUGGCAAUUAUCCUUAAAAGUAUAAUUUCUAACUUCAUUCUGCUUAUGUAUCCUUAUACCCACACAUAAGUGUAGAUCUCAUUUUUUAAUCUAAGAAGCUCCAUCUUGCAGCAGAGAACAUUAAAGAAAUCCAUAUCUGGUCAAAACAUAGAGAAUAGUUCACUCCAGAAUAUCCAACCCAAUUGAUAUAUCUACAAUACAAUCUAUACUCCAGGCUCAGGGACCAUCCAGGAAGUAAGGCAAAGCAGACAUCUUGCAAAAUCCAUAAGACCAAGACACAUCUGCUGCAAAAUUGUGCCUUUUACAUGUUACAUGCAAACUGAAACAAUGAUAUCUUAACAGUAUAGUGGCCUAAACAAGAUCUGAACAAUGACACCACCAGUAAACAUGCCAAUAUUGACUAGGGAAAUCUCAUUUCACAAGGCCCAAUCCUAUAUUGCCUUAGUCAGGGUUUCUAUUCCUGCACAAAUAU